AAGUUUCACCAUGGAAAAGGGUGUUACGAUUUGGUAAAAAGGGAAAAUUAAGUCCGAGAUUCAUAGGGCCAUAUGAAAUUGUGGAAAGGGUUGGUCCUGUGGCUUAUCGUUUGGCUUUACCUCCGGAACUUGAGAAGAUUCAUAAUGUGUUUCAUGUGUCUAUGCUAAGGCAGUAUAGGUCAGAUCCUUCACACGUAAUUCCCCAUACUGAAAUUGAGCUUCAACCAGAUAUGACUUAUUCAGAAGAACCAGUGAAGAUUUUGGCUCGUGAAGUUAAGGAAUUGCGGAACAAAAGAGUACCAUUGGUUAAAGUAUUAUGGCAUCGACAUGGUAUGGAGGAGGCAACCUGGGAAACAGAGGAGUCAAUGAGAUCACAGUAUCCAAAUCUAUUUUCAGAUCAAGAAUCCAAAGAAGAACGAGGAAAAGAAAAAGUUGCGGAAUAGUCCCUAAAUUUCAAUAUCUUCUACAAAUUAGCCGGAUUGACUUGAAGUGAAGUGGGUAGAUCGGAUCAACACAACAAAGCACACUAUCCAGAUCAAUUCCG